CGUCCUCUGCCGUGUUUGACAGCCUGCGCUAACAUACGCCUUGUCCCAUAAACACGACCUGGGAAUCUGCUGCCACCGCUGUGUGCAUGUCCGCCGCGUUGCGGAAAGCCUGAUGGGGUGGCACGGGUACCCACUUGAUCCUAGGGAUCAAGGUCGUUUCGUACGGCAUCGGCAUGGCGGAGGAUGC
rnacentral:other from 1 species